AUUGAACGCUGGCGGCAUGCUUUACACAUGCAAGUCGAACGGUAACAGGCCGCAAGGUGCUGACGAGUGGCGAACGGGUGAGUAAUGCAUCGGAACGUGCCCAGUCGUGGGGGAUAACUACUCGAAAGAGUAGCUAAUACCACAUACGAUCUAUGGAUGAAAGCGGGGGACCGUAAGGCCUCGCGCGAUUGGAGCGGCCGAUGUCAGAUUAGGUAGUUGGUGGGGUAAAGGCUCACCAAGCCAACGAUCUGUAGCUGGUCUGAGAGGACGACCAGCCACACUGGGACUGAGGCACGGCCCAGACUCCUACGGGAGGCAGCAGUGGGGAAUUUUGGACAAUGGGCGCAAGCCUGGUCCAGCAAUGCCGCGUGCAGGAAGAAGGCCUUCGGGUUGUAAACUGCUUUUGUACGGAACGAAACGGCUCUGGUUAAUACCCGGGGCUAAUGACGGUACCAUAAGAAUAAGCACCGGCUAACUACGUG
rnacentral:rRNA from 1 species